UGAGCUGGCCUUUGGGCAUGUGCUUACCUCUCGACUUCAAUCCACAUACACCUGUGAACCCAUGGCUCGUCAGUCUCCCAGUCCCGACAAAGGGCUGCGGUUCCGGUUUUUCCGGAAUUUUGAGGCCGACUUGUCAUCACUUUUAUAACUAAUACCAAGUUAAAUGCAUGUUUAUCUGCUCUACGGAGCAUUAAUAAAAAUACAACUUUCAACAACGGAUCUCUUGGCUUUCGCAUCGAUGAAGAACGCCGCGAAAGCGCGAAACGUAAUGUGAAUUGCAGAAUUCAGUGAAUCAUCGAAUCUUUGAACGCAUCUUGCGCUCCUUGGUAUUCCGAGGAGCAUGCCUGUUUGAGUGUCGUGAAUACUCUCAAACUCUUGUCUUUUUUAAUCGAAAGCUUGAGUUUGGACUUGGACGCUGCUGUGAACUUGUUCACGGCUCGUCUCGAAAUGCAUUAGCUGGUCCACCUCGGUGUUAACAAACGGUGUGAUAAGAAACAUUCAUUUGUGACUGUAGCGCUGCUGUUAUUCGUUGGGGACUGCUUCCAAUCGUCGAAAGACAACAUUCAUGUCAUCUGACCUCAAAUCAGGUAGGACUACCCGCUGAACUUAAGCAUAUCAAUAAGCGGAGGAAAAGAAACUAACAAGGAUUCCCCUAGUAACGGCGAGUGAAGCGGGAAGAGCUCAAAUUUAAAAUCUGGCGGUCUCCGGCCGUCCGAGUUGUANUCUAGAGAAG
rnacentral:rRNA from 1 species